rnacentral:lncRNA from 1 species
UAUUUUUAAAACAAAUGCCAUUCAGAAAAAGUUUAAGGCAUCAACGUAGUUUCCAACGUUGCAGACAACUGGAGGAAAAGCUCCUCCUUCUGCGUACCACUCCCAUAUCCAGAAAGGCUCGUUUAACAUCUGGUUGAAAAUCUCUCUAACAUGUGUGAGAAGCUGACUGACCUUGUGACCCCGGCCACAGCUUCCCCUGGGAGGGCAGCCUCUCUUCCCUUUGGGGGCUGAAUGUAAAACGAUGAGACUCUAGGUUUGAAAAUGAAAGCCUCAUCAUGAUGCCAUUUAGCUGGUCCAGGUGGGAGCCCGGGUAAUCGAGCCCACCAGCCUAAUUCCUGGCCUUUUCCUUCCUGACCACCUCAUGUAAGCUUCUUGUUGCCAUUUCCCUCGUCUCACUUUUCUCCAAGAGUUCAGCCUCAAUGGAGCUGUUGAAGGACUGUGGUUGAGAUGCAGGUACAGCCGAUCACGCAGGACUCCAGACGCAGAAGGUGCUGAGGCAAGCAAGUGAAAAGUAACCCCUACCCAAUGGUCAACGUCACAGCAAAGCAGAAGCUUGAUUCAUAAGUGAAGAAUAAAUGCAAAGCCAUGAAACUAAAAGUGAGAAAGUCAAUUUGAUGCAAAAGGAGAAAAAUGAUAAAGAAUUCAAGUGACUGAAUGAAGUGGAAAUUGACUUAUUAGGUAAUGGAGAUACAGCUGGAAGCUCAGCAGUCCCACCUGGGGGAAAUAAGGAAGAAGUUAACCUAUGCUAAGUGACCCUCCUGUGCCCUGUAAAAAUAACAUUGAAGGGGAAGGGAAGAAAGCUUUGAUGAGAAAAAUAAGGAGGGUUAACUAUGCGCAGAAGAGAAGUUUCCAGGUUGGGAACAAGAAACGGAGAUGAUUAAAUCAAUCCAGAAUACUGUGUGUAAAAUAUGACCAAAGUGAUGAGAAGACUGUCGUCUUAAACUGUAUCCUCAGCAAGGGAAAUCCCAAGAUGGAGACAGCAGGGAUAUGUGCAAAUGAUAGAAAAUGGCUCGUUUCAGGAGUUCAGGAAGGUGUCGUGAAAUGAAAAAUAAAACAAUGGCAACAACAACAAAACCCCUAACCUAUGGGAGCCGCCACAGAAGAUUUAAGAAUGGACUAAGAGGCAUCAGAUUGCUCUUUUCAAGCCACUCCAGGUAUCUAUGUAUGCCAACCACCUUUUUCAUGAAUCAGGAAAAGGUACCAGAUCUAAAAACAAAACAAACAAGACCGAAAAAAGCCCCUAAAGAUUCAAAGACAAGGGCCCAGCUGAAUCAAACCUGGAAUAGAAAGAGAGAGCAGGAAUGUCAUACUGGAUAAGGAAAGGAGGUGGUUACUGGAACAUGGACGGGCCUGACAGUGGAAGCAACCCUGGACAGGGAGGCAGGAUCCCUGAAUCCUCCUCUCACUGCUGCUCCCUCCCAGCUGUCUGGCCUUGGUGAGGGG